rnacentral:lncRNA from 10 species
AUUUCAUACUUAAAACAAUAUUCUAUGCAAAAUGCUAUAAUUUCCCCUUGCCUCCAAUUUACACAUGAUAAAACUGAGCCUAGUAAAAUUAAGUAUCAUGCCCCAAAGUUCUCUGCUUAGUAAGAAGUAGAGGCAAGCCCAAACCUAAGUCAUCUGAUUUCAGAGCCCAUACAGUUAAAUGCUCUAAAUGCAGCUUCCCGUGAUGAUGGUGACUAUGAGAGCCUGUCACAUAUGAUGUAGGACAGUGCUUCCCUGUAACAUGCACAAGAUUCCCGUGAUGAUGGUGAUUAUGAGAGCCUGUCACCUACGAUGUAGGACAGUCCUUCCCUGUAACAUGCACAAGAUUCCUGUGAUGAUGGUGACUAUGAGAGCCUGUCACAUAUGAUGUAGGACAGUGCUUCCCUGUAACAUGCACAAGAUUCCUGUGAUGAUGGUGACUAUGAGAGCCUGUCACAUGAUGUAGGACAGUGCUUCCCUGUAACAUGUGCAAGAUUCCCGUGAUGAUGGUGACUAUGAGAGCCUGUCACAUAUGAUGUAGGACAGUGCUUCCCUGUAACAUGUGCAAGAUUCCCAUGAUGAUGGUGACUAUGAGAGCCUGUCACAUAGGAUGUAGGACAGUGCUUCCCUGUAACAUGCACAAGAUUCACCCAGGGAUCUCUUUAAAAUGCAAAACCAUAGACCACACUUUGACUGGCUUGGAUAAGGGGUCAGAGCAUCGAAAUGAGUGUGUAGGUGACUGUGCUAAAAUUCUCCUGCUCAUGUGGGCACUGGCUCAUGAUAUUAACAAAGCUUAGGACCUCUAGUCCUUUCUGGAAAGAAAAUACACAUACAUAGCAUGUGACUGUGCAUAUGGAAUAUCUGUUGUGUUCUGGACAUUGUGCUGGACAACAGAGAUAAGAAGUCAAAUAUCCCUUGUCUCUAUCUGAAAGGAGCUUCC